rnacentral:rRNA from 2 species
UACCUACGGGAGGCUGCAGUGGGGAAUAUUGGACAAUGGGCGCAAGCCUGAUCCAGCCAUGCCGCGUGAGUGAUGACGGCCUUAGGGUUGUAAAGCUCUUUUACCUGGGAAGAUAAUGACGGUACCAGGAGAAUAAGCCCCGGCUAACUUCGUGCCAGCAGCCGCGGUAAUACGAAGGGGGCUAGCGUUGUUCGGAAUCACUGGGCGUAAAGCGCACGUAGGCGGAUCUUUAAGUCAGGGGUGAAAUCCCGGAGCUCAACUCCGGAACUGCCUUUGAUACUGGGGAUCUAGAGUCCGGAAGAGGUAAGUGGAACUGCGAGUGUAGAGGUGAAAUUCGUAGAUAUUCGGAAGAACACCAGUGGCGAAGGCGGCUCACUGGACCGGCAUUGACGCUGAGGUGCGAAAGCGUGGGGAGCAAACAGGAUUAGAUACCCGAGUAGUCC